CGGCGUGCCUAAUACAUGCAAGUCGAGCGAACAGAURAGGAGCUUGCUCCUUUGACGUUAGCGGCGGACGGGUGAGUAACACGUGGGUAACCUACCUAUAAGACUGGGACAACUUCGGGAAACCGGAGCUAAUACCGGAUAAUAUGUUGAACCGCAUGGUUCAAUAGUGAAAGAUGGUUUUGCUAUCACUUAUAGAUGGACCCGCGCCGUAUUAGCUAGUUGGUGAGGUAACGGCUCACCAAGGCAACGAUACGUAGCCGACCUGAGAGGGUGAUCGGCCACACUGGAACUGAGACACGGUCCAGACUCCUACGGGAGGCAGCAGUAGGGAAUCUUCCGCAAUGGGCGAAAGCCUGACGGAGCAACGCCGCGUGAGUGAUGAAGGUCUUAGGAUCGUAAAACUCUGUUAUUAGGGAAGAACAAACGUGUAAGUAACUGUGCACGUCUUGACGGUACCUAAUCAGAAAGC
rnacentral:rRNA from 1 species